UUUGGAUAUCUUAUCAGAUUGGGCCUCACAGUUGGAUUUCAGAUUGUUGGUCCAUCCUAUUCAAUUUCAAUCCUUUAUUGAUUUGGCCUAUUACUCCGGGCAUUCAGCCAUUCCACGUCCCUUUUCAUGCACCAAAGUGGGUAUGUCUCAAUUAUUUCCUGAUUUGGGCCUUUAGUAAAAUCUAAUAUCAUGGACCGUUUAUAGUUUUCUAUUAAACAUCCUGUUUAAC
rnacentral:lncRNA from 1 species